rnacentral:rRNA from 1 species
GAUGAACGCUGGCGGCGUGCCUAAUACAUGCAAGUCGAGCGAACAGAUGAGGAGCUUGCUCCUCUGACGUUAGCGGCGGACGGGUGAGUAACACGUGGAUAACCUACCUAUAAGACUGGGAUAACUUCGGGAAACCGGAGCUAAUACCGGAUAAUAUAUUGAACCGCAUGGUACAAUAGUGAAAGACGGUUUUGCUGUCACUUAUAGAUGGAUCCGCGCCGCAUUAGCUAGUUGGUAAGGUAACGGCUUACCAAGGCAACGAUGCGUAGCCGACCUGAGAGGGUGAUCGGCCACACUGGAACUGAGACACGGUCCAGACUCCUACGGGAGGCAGCAGUAGGGAAUCUUCCGCAAUGGGCGAAAGCUUGACGGAGCAACGCCGCGUGAGUGAUGAAGGUCUUCGGAUCGUAAAACUCUGUUAUUAGGGAAGAACAAAUGUGUAAGUAACUAUGCACGUCUUGACGGUACCUAAUCAGAAAGCCACGGCUAACUACGUG